rnacentral:rRNA from 1 species
CACCGGCGGCCCGAGUGGUAACCGUUUUUAUUGGGUUUAAAGGGUCCGUAGCCGGCUUAUUAAGUCUCUUGGGAAAUCUGGCGGCUCAAUCGUCAGGCGGCCAAGAGAUACUGGUAGGCUUGGGACCGGGAGAGGUGGGAGGUACUCCAGGGGUAGGGGUGAAAUCUCGUAAUCCUUGGGGGACCACCGAUGGCGAAGGCAUCCCACCAGAACGGGUCCGACGGUGAGGGACGAAAGCUGGGGGCACGAACCGGAUUAGAUACCCGGGUAGUCCCAGCUGUAAACGAUGCUCGCUAGGUGUCAGGUGCGGUGCGACCGCAUCUGGUGCCGCAGUGAAAACUUGAAGCGAGUCACCUGGGAAGUACGGUCGCAAGGCUG